AGAGCGAACGCUGGCGGCAGGCUUAACACAUGCAAGUCGAACGCCCCGCAAGGGGAGUGGCGCAAGGGUGAGUAAUGCAUGGGAAUCUGCCUCAAGGUAUGGGAUAACCGCUGGAAACGGCGGCUAAUACCGUAUGUGCCCUACGGGGCAAAGCUCCGGCGCCUUGAGAUGAGCCCAUGUCCGAUUAGCUAGUUGGUAGGGUAACGGCCUACCAAGGCGACGAUCGGUAGCUGGUCUGAGGGGAUGGUCAGCCACACUGGGACUGAGACACGGCCCAGACUCCUACGGGAGGCAGCAGUGGGGAAUAUUGGACAAUGGGCGCAAGCCUGAUCCAGCCAUGCCGCGUGAGUGAUGAAGGCCUUAGGGUUGUAAAGCUCUUUCGACGGGGACGAUGAUGACGGUACCCGUAGAAGAAGCCCCGGCUAACUUCGUGCCAGCAGCCGCGGUAAUACGAAGGGGGCUAGCGUUGCUCGGAAUUACUGGGCGUAAAGGGCGCGUAGGCGGCCUCGUAAGUCAGGCGUGAAAGGCCCGGGCUCAACUCGGGAACUGCGCUUGGGACUGCGGGGCUAGAGUGCGGGAGAGGGCAGUGGAAUUCCCAGUGUAGAGGUGAAAUUCGUAGAUAUUGGGAAGAACACCAGUGGCGAAGGCGAGUCUCUGGCACGAAUCUGACGCUGAGGCGCGAAAGCUAGGGGAGCAAACGGGAUUAGAUACCCCGGUAGUCCUAGCCGUAAACGAUGGGCACUGAGUGUCGGCCGAUCGACCCGGUCGGUGCUGCAGCUAACGCGUUAAGUGCCCCGC
rnacentral:rRNA from 1 species